GUGCCAGCAGCCGCGGUAAUACGUAGGGUGCGAGCGUUAAUCGGAAUUACUGGGCGUAAAGCGUGCGCAGGCGGUUAUAUAAGACAGUUGCGAAAUCCCCGGGCUUAACCUGGGAAUGGCGCUUGUGACUGCACGACUGGAGUGCGGCAGAGGGGGAUGGAAUUCCGCGUGUAGCAGUGAAAUGCGUAGAUAUGCGGAGGAACACCGAUGGCGAAGGCAGUCCCCUGGGCCUGCACUGACGCUCAUGCACGAAGCGUGGGGAGCAA
rnacentral:rRNA from 1 species